UGUAGUUCAUGGGGUUUAUGGUUGG
rnacentral:piRNA from 1 species